UACGUAGGGUGCAGGCGUUAAUCGGAAUUACUGGGCGUAAAGCGUGCGCAGGCGGUUUGCUAAGACAGGUGUGAAAUCCCCGGGCUUAACCUGGGAACUGCGCUUGUAACUGGCAAGCUAGAGUGUGGGCAGAGGGGGGGUGGGAAUUCCACGUGUAGCAGUGAAAUGCGUAGAGAUGUGGAGGAACACCGAUGGCGAAGGCAGCCCCCUGGGCUAACACUGACGCUCAUGCACGAAAGCGUG
rnacentral:rRNA from 1 species